GUGGGUUGCAGUACACAAUGUUAGUGUAAAUGUAAUAUCAUUUAUGGGAUGCAGAGGCUUUGUGACCUUUGUCUUGUGAGUCUGACAUAGGUGUUAUAUGUAAACCAUGCCUUAAAACGUAUGGAGUACGCAGGUGCUGUGCCUGUAAACGGUGUCUUGGAAUUGUAUGGAGUACGCGGGUGCUGCGCCUGUAAACGGUGUCUAGGAAUUGUAUGGAAUCAGUGUAUCCAUGUUUUGUUUGUCAACAUGUAGGCAUUGCUGUAGUGUGCAUACAAUUGUAUGAGUCACAUCUUGAGGAAACAGUACUGUAAUAAACAAAUACUUGUGCAAUCUAACUCAGUGGUGUGCCUUGAUUCAUCAUUACCAAGAUACAGAUCCCACUUGAAGCUAAGUGCAACAGGUAGGUGUGCAGGUAAGGUAGCCUUAGAGGGACUAAAAGUGAAUGUGGUUCAGUAGGCAGCAAAGAGGGUGGCGGUUGGGGUUAGGCAACGGGUUAGGGUUAGGCAACGGGUUAGGGUUAGGCAACGGGUUAGGGUUAGGCAACGGGUUAGGCAACGGGUUAGGCAACGGGUUAGGGUUAGGCAACGGGUUAGGGUUAGGCAACGGGUUAGGGUUAGGCAACGGGUUAGGGUUAGGGUUAGGGUUAGGCAACGGGUUAGGGUUAGGGUUAGGCAACGGGUUAGGGUUAGGCAACGGGUUAGGGUUAGGGUUAGGCAACGGGUUAGGGUUAGGGUUAGGGUUAGGCAACGGGUUAGGGUUAGGCAACGGGUUAGGGUUAGGCAACGGGUUAGGGUUAGGCAACGGGUUAGGGUUAGGCAACGGGUUAGGGUUAGGGUUAGGGUUAGGGUUAGGGUUAGGGUUAGGGUUAGGGUUAGGGUUAGGGUUAGGGUUAGGGUUAGGGUUAGGGUUAGGGUUAGGGG
ensembl:lncRNA